GACGGAGGGUGCUAGCGUUAUUCGGAUUCACUGGGCGUAAAGGGUGCGCAGGCGGCCAUGUGUGUGAGGCGUGAAAGCCCGGGGCUUAACCCCGGAAUUGCACCUCAAACUAUAUGGCUAGAGCAUUGGAGAGGGUAGCAGAAUUCAUGGUGUAGCAGUGAAAUGCGCAGAUAUCAGGAGGAACACCGGUGGCGAAGGCAGGUCUCUGGGCCAUAACUGACGCUGAGGAGCGAAAGCGUGGGGAGCGAACAGG
rnacentral:rRNA from 1 species